UCUGAGAAUUCAUGAGCU
rnacentral:snRNA from 1 species